rnacentral:rRNA from 1 species
AGCAGCCGCGGUAAUUCCAGCUCCAAUAGCGUAUAUUAAAGUUGUUGCAGUUAAAAAGCUACGUAGUUGAAUUUCGGGAUUAGUACGCUGGUCAUGCCUUUGGUAUGUACUGGUGUUACUGAUUCCUACCUUCUGAAGAACCGUUAUGUCAUUCAUUUGGUGUGGCGGGGAAUCAGGGCUGUUACUUUGAAAAAAUUAGAGUGUUUAAAGCAGGCUCGCGCUUGAAUACAUUAGCAUGGAAUAAUGAAAUAGGACGUUGAUCCUAUUUUGUUGGUUUCUAGGAUUGACGUAAUGAUUAAUAGGGAUAGUUGGGGGCAUUAGUAUUCAAUUGUCAGAGGUGAAAUUCUUGGAUUUAUUGAAGACUAACUACUGCGAAAGCAUUUGCCAAGGAUGUUUUCAUUAAUCAAGAACGAAAGUUAGGGGAUCGAAGACGAUCAGAUACCGUCGUAGUCUUAACCAUAAACUAUGCCGACUAGGGAUCGGAUGAUGUUAAUUUUUUAAUGACUCAUUCGGCGCCUUA